rnacentral:rRNA from 1 species
CCUACGGGGGGCAGCAGUGGGGGAUAUUGCACAAUGGGGGGAACCCUGAUGCAGCGACGCCGCGUGGGUGAAGAAGCGCCUCGGCGCGUAAAGCCCUGUCAGUAGGGAAGAAAAUGACGGUACCUGAAGAAGAAGCCCCGUCUAACUACGUGCCAGCAGCCGCGGUAAUACGUAGGGGGCAAGCGUUAUCCGGAUUUACUGGGUGUAAAGGGGGCGCAGACGGAGGUGCAAGCCAGGGGUAAAAGCACGGGGCCCAACCCCGGGGCUGCUCUUAGAACGGCGUGGCUGGAGUGGAGGAGGGUCAGGGGGAAGUGCGGUGGUGGCGGGGAAAGGAGUAGAAAUAAGGAGGAAGA